GGUUCCCGCCUGCGCCUCUCCCUCCACACCGCCUUGCAAGCUGAGGGAGCCGGCUCCGGCCUCUGCCAGCCCAGGAAGGGGCUCCCACAGUGCAGCGGCGGGCUGAAGGACUCCUCAAGUGCCACCAAAGUGGGAGCCCAGGCAGAGGAGGCGCCGAGAGCGAGCGAGGGCUGCCUGCCAGCACGCUGUCACGUCUCAGCAAUAGACUGCUCUUGAGCUUAAUAAAUAACUUGAAUUAUGAAGAAUGUUCUUUUACACAUACUAGAUGCAACUACUGCUCCAUG
rnacentral:lncRNA from 1 species